CGCGUAGGCGGUUCGUUAAGUUGCUGGUGAAAUCCCGGGGCUCAACUCCGGGGCUGCCGGCAAGACUGGCGGGCUCAGAGCACGGUAGAGGCAGAUGGAAUUCCCGGUGUAGCGGUGGAAUGCGUAGAUAUCGGGAAGAAUACCGGUGGCGAAGGCGUUCUGCUGGGCCGUUGCUGACGCUGAGGCGCGACAGCGUGGGAGCAAACA
rnacentral:rRNA from 1 species